rnacentral:lncRNA from 1 species
AAUUACUGUUUUCUUUUCCUUGGUCAUAUUUUCCUUCUAAUAUCCUUGUUUUCUAACAUCUAAGAGAAUCACAUUGAACUUGCGGCCUUGUUGCUAGGUUUCAAGCUGAUUUUAUGCAGUCUACUGAGACACUAUUUUCGUUUUUGAAUUCUGAAUCAAGUCCCAAGGCAACAGGGCCCUGUUUCUUAGCAACACAGAUGGGCAGACCAUAUAUUCCAGUGCUUUUGUGCAAGGGAAGAAUAAACAUCUCCCUGAAUAAGGGUGUGCUGCAAGUUGAUCUCUUUGCUUAACUUCCCCUAGAACAGAGGAACGAGAGGCAUUCUGUGAUACAUCACAUGAAGUUUGUCAGGAAGUCCCUGUUUUUGCAAGUCGUAUGCAACAGAUUUACCACAUCUUGUGUCAAGUUACUCCAGAGAUCCUUUAAAUGUGAAGUUAAAAUCACAUCCUUCCAACAGAGAUCUGGGACUUGAAUUGCUGAAAUGAAAGCAAAAGAGCUUUGUGAACAUGAAUGGGAUCCUUCCUAAGUUACUGCUACCAAAGAAUCCGUGCCUACCUAAAUCUGCUUCAUUUAUGGCUGCUGACAGCUUACAGCACCCUCCAACACAGCUCCCAUGCCUGGCUGCCAGAGCCCUGGGAGGAACAGAAAAAUGCCUGAGAAAUAAGCCACUAUCUGCUUCCACCUGGUCUAGAGUAAACUUCUCAAUGGGGGUUUUCACCAGUGAAAUCUGUUUGCUGUACAAAUGCAUUUUCUUACAUGAUAUUUGGUACUAGCCUGACGUGAACUUGCAUGGUGAUGACUAUUUAAAUGUCAAUGUUUUUCCUUUCACAGAAAUCUCAGACUAAACAGUAGGGUGCUGAUGAGAAAGCAAUGUGGUAAAGACUUCACAGUCUUAUCCAUGUUAACAUACCAGCCUUCUGUUUCUAUGAAAUCUGUACAUAUGCAAAUGCUAUGGAGGAUGCUAGCAGUCCUGAGCUGUGUCUGUAUUACCCUGUUAGGACAGGUAUGAGCUCUCUCAGAGCACUGGCACACUAUGACAAAGCAGGCCUAGGUCCUUCAAGCACUACAAAACCUAACACAGAGAGCUCCAUUCAUCAAUGAUGUUCAAAUAUGUUUUUCUUUUAUAUAUAUAUAUAUAUAUAUAUAUAUAUAUAUAUUCUUAUUUUUCCAGUAAAUACCACCAGCAGUGAACAGAAACACACUGAAUGCACUUUGAUUUUAAUAGAGAGUAUUUUAUCUCCUCCCUUUAUGUCUUGAUUUCUGAAAUAACAUGGAGGACAGUAUUAUUGUCAAUUUCUACUUAACAUUUCUUUAUCUAUAUGUCUAUCUGUUUAUCUUCAUCACUAAAAAUUACUUACUGACUCUUCUAAUUUAUUAAUUCUUUUCUCUCACCAACCCCUCAGUCAUUUGGAAGUAAAACAAAUGGCACGGUCCAUCAUACUCUUGAGGACAAGAGAGGCUGAGUGCCAUCAUGAGCUUACUUUGGAAACUCCCUGCUCUCUUUACCUAAGAACUGGUGAUCAGCUGACUGUGCCAAAACUAACCCUACCAUGCUUCCUUUUCUUUCAAGAGGAAGAUCUGCUUUGCUCUUGAGUCUGCAUCUGGAUUGAGAGCUGAAGCUCAGCAUGGUCAGGUAGUUUCAAUUCCUUUCAAAAAGAGCAUGUGAGGAUGCUCAAUGUAGCACUUUCAAGUCAUAGCCUGCAUUGCUGAGGGCUUUGGGGAAAUGUCCAGAGAUAGAUUUGGACUAAAACUUCCAGAUUUAGAUUGUAAGUAAACUGAAGAGUAUAUACUUACAACGUAGCGAUUUAGCAUAAGAAAAUUGCAUAGCUGGCUGUUUUGCCCUUUCCAAAAGACAAUGAUUUAUAUACCACUGUGGAAAGCUCAGAACACUAGAGACAAUUCCUUAAGCAAUGAUCUCAUAGCUCUGUGUGCGCUGGUGUGAAGUUUGACAUUUUUCUGGGAUUUAACAGAUGCAAUCCUUAGUGAAGAGAAAAAAUUACGUAGAAUAUUAAAAUUUUAAAAAGGCACUUUUUUUUUUUUUUUUGUUAAACACAUCUUCCUAUCAGUCAGGGAGGAAUUGUGUCGUAUUUUCAGACACUAGUUUGGAAAGAAUAAAAUCUCUGGGAAAUUUCCCUGCCUGGAAUUU